UUCUCUUUUGCCAAUCAAAGAUUCUUCCAUAUGGAUCUACAGAAUUCCGAUGAGUGUUCUUGAUAUUUUCUUGUCCCUGUUCAAACAGAGAUGGGAAGAAUAAGAAAUUAGGGUUUCAGUGAUUGAUGGAUUUCAAAAAAAUAGAGUUUCAUUGAGUAGUGAAAACGAAGGGGAAAAUUAGCUGAAGUCUUGAGUAUAGAGAAAAGAAAGCGAGAAAAGGAUGAUUUAGAUCUUAAUCUUUCUAGUUAGUCUGAAUCGUGUUUUAUGUAAACCCUAAUUUCAAGGAUGAGUUGUUGCUGCUGAGUGGUUGAAAUGAGUCGAUAUAAUACAGAACAAACAAAUUUCAGUAAUCUAAGAAAACCGACUAAAUUCACCCAAUUUUUCAGGGUUUAAGGUUCGGCAGUAUGGGGAAGGGGAAGAUAUCACCUAAAUUUGCAGUCAUGAAGAGAUUAAUAAGCUCUAAAAUGAUCAAAAAUUUUUUGAAUUUAGGACAAAAGAGGAUAUUCUAAACCCUAGAAAGAAAGAUCUUCAGAAGGAAAAAUUACCCAGAAACGUGCCUCGAGUAUCUUCAGCUCUGUUCUUUAAACAUAGUAGUGCGUUGGGUCCUCCUGAUAGGGUUUUGCUUGAUACUAAUUUUGUACUCUGUGAUAUUUAUUGUGUGUAACUGGUUUGAUAUGCUUGUUUGUAUUACAUCGACUCAUUUGUGAUGGGAUGAAUUGGUGAUGGUUAUCGACAAAAAUUGCAAGGAUGAACUGUUGCUGCAGAGUGGUUGAAAUGGAUUUUGGUGAUGUUCUGUUGAUGGGUUUGCUUAUAGAGGCGUGUAUUCUUGCGAUUAGUCAAUAAUUACUUCAGACUUGGAGACUGAACCAUGGUUCGCAAGAUUAGAAGAACAUGGAAGUUGUUGAAUCUAUAACUGGUGGUUACAUAGGGACCAUGGUCAAAGGCUUAUCUUGUGAGGAUGACGAAGAGCGAGCAAGUCGUAGAUUGUACAGAGGUUGCUUUCAUUCUCAAACAUGUAGUGGCUGCACAACUGUGUUUGCUUCGGGUGUGAUUUGUGCCGGUUUUCAGACUGCAAUUGUCGGACUUGCACUGAUUUCACAACGAAUGCUAAACCUUAAAUCUUCAGAGUAAAUUGUUUCCAGGACAAGAAAGCCACAGAAAGAGGAGUCGAGAUAUACGAGCAAUUUGAGUUCCCGAAGAAAGUUUCCCAACACUACAGAAAGAGUUGGUUAUGGAGUUGUGCUCAGACCUUGUUGACCGGAAUUGAUUGCUAAGGAUUUUCAUGGAACUGAGUGGCGAUUCCGUCAUGUAUAUCGGUUUACGGAAGAAGCUUUAUAUACAGAGCUGCGGCACACUUGUGCUGGUCCUCUUGUGGCUAUACCACGUGAAGGCCAGAUUCUUUGUGCAGGAACUGCAAGCGGCCUGGUUAUUAUCCUUAUGAAUAAGUCAGGGAUUACGGAGAACUUGAUGAAGAAUGCUUGGUAACUAUCUGCAAGUUUUGAGAAGUAUCUUCAAGUUUUGAGUAAGUUGUAUGUAGUUUUUGAGUUGAACUUAUACUGACCUAAGUGAGAAGGAACUGAACUUAAGAAGUUUCUAUGUAUUCCCUCGGAAUUUGAUAACAAAAAAAAAAGUACUUAGAAGAAUUGAUGUUCUUUUUUUAUAUGAAUUGAUUGAUUGAAUUUGAAUGUGGCAUGAAUUGAAUGAAGAAAAUAUUGUUGGAUUAGGUUAUUUGUAUU